rnacentral:rRNA from 1 species
UACAGAGGGUGCAAGCGUUGUUCGGAAUUAUUGGGCGUAAAGGGCGCGUAGGCGGUGCCACAAGUCACCUGUGAAAUCUCCGGGCUUAACUCGGAGCCUGCAGGCGAAACUGUGGUGCUGGAGUAUGGGAGAGGUGAGUGGAAUUCCUGGUGUAGCGGUGAAAUGCGUAGAGAUGUGGAGGAAUACCGAUGGCGAAGGCGAGCCUCCUCGGGCCCAACACGUGACGCUCAUGCACGAAAGCGUGGGGAGCAAACAGG